AACGUAGGAGACAAACGUUAUCCGGAGUUACUGGGCGUAAAGGGCGUGUAGGUGGUUUCGUAAGUCUGGCGUGAAAUUUUUCGGCUUAACCGGGAAAGGUCGUCGGAUACUGCGGAACUAGAGGACGGUAGAGGCGUGUGGAAUUCCGGGUGUAGUGGUGAAAUGCGUAGAGAUCCGGAGGAACACCAGUGGCGAAGGCGACACGCUGGGCCGUACCUGACACUGAUGCGGCGACAGCAUGGGGAGCAAACAGGAUUAGAA
rnacentral:rRNA from 1 species